AGCAGCCGCGGUAAUUCCAGCUCCAAUAGCGUAUAUUAAAGUUGUUGCAGUUAAAAAGCUCAUAGUUGAAUUUCGGGAUUGACACAUCGGUCGUGCCUUAAGGGGUAUGAACUGGUGUAGUCAAUUUCUCACCUUCUGGAGAACCGCGAUGCCCUUAAUUGGGUGUCGCGGGGAACCAGGACCUUUAACUUUGAAAAAAUUAGAGUGUUUAAAGCAGGCAUUUUGCUUGAAUACAUUAGCAUGGAAUAUAAAAUAGGACGGCAUGAUUCUAUUUUGUUGGUUUCUAGGAUCACCGUAAUGAUUAAUAGGGAUAGUUGGGGGCAUUAGUAUUCAAUUGUCAGAGGUGAAAUUCUUGGAUUUAUUGAAGACUAACUACUGCGAAAGCAUUUGCCAAGGAUGUUUUCAUUAAUCAAGAACGAAAGUUAGGGGAUCGAAGACGAUCAGAUACCGUCGUAGUCUUAACCAUAAACUAUGCCGACUAGGAAUCAGACGAUGUUAAUUUUUAAUGACUCGUUUGGCU
rnacentral:rRNA from 1 species